rnacentral:misc_RNA from 1 species
CCCUUCAGAUCUCCCUUAAGCCCCCUUUCGGGGCUCUCCUUCGCUUCUUACUUUCUCUGCUAGGCCAAAAUUUUCCUCAGAAUUGCAUCCUUUUUGUUAGUGAAAACAGAUCUUCUGCUUCUUUAAAGAAUACCCAAUUUAAAUUUUCAGAGAAUUGAUGGUGGUGAUUCCAGCUGAUCUUGCUGCUGCUGCUGCUCCUUCGAAGAGCAAGAACACAACUUUUCCUCCAAUCCCAAAGAGAGGCAAGGUCAAAGCUCAUAUUUUUGAGAGCUUAGCAAAGACAGUCGUCUCUGUGGCGUCUAAGGCAGGAGGAACUCAGAAAAGAAACAAAGGAGAAGGUGGAGACAGUGGAAGUUCUUGCCCUUCAACCCCACCUCCUAGUCCCCUUAACUCCGAUGCCUAUUCUUGUUUCUCUCAGACAUAACCAGAUGGGUCUGGGCACCCAUCAACUUGUUAUUAUCCUAUAAGUUGAAUCGUUUUGUGUAGCCUAAAGAUGUAGAAACCAACAUGGGUUCCCAGCAUAACUCAUAUUUGAACUAGUUAUAGCAGGGAAUAUACCCAUCAUGUGUGUGUAGAUUUUGCUAAGUCAGUGUCUUUGUAGUUAUGGUUUAGGCUGUUUGUUAAGAGGCAGUCCAAACCAUAUUUCUCAUUUCUCAAGUUUUAGAGAAGAGAUGAUAGUUUAUUUGUUCUUGUACUUGUAUGAUUUUGUCUUUGCUUCUGUAUUCUCAGUUGGGUCAUGCCCACUUCUUGUAUUGUGUUU